AUACUCAGUAAAGCAAUUGCAAUUGUAGUUAUAUUUUAUAAUAUAGUGUCAUAAAAGCAUACAGUGUCUCAUGUGACUAGACCUUGUUUACAUGUGAUACAUUCCGUGUGUUUCUGUCGCUUGCAAGGAAUUAUGGCUCACCCUCAGUGGACAAGAGACUCAGAAGAAUUGCUUAUUGAGACCAUAAAAAAACAUAGGUGUCUCUGGGACCACAGAGAUGAUUCAUACAUGAAAAAGGGGCUGAAACGUGUGGCUUACAGCCAGGUCGCCUCCGAACUGAAGAACAACUUCCCUGAACUAGCCACAAUUUCAACAGAUCAAGUGCGGUCCAAGUUCAAUAACCUGAGGACGUACUUCUUGAAAGAGUACCGCAAGAUUUGCGGGACUGCAAGUGGCACGGCUGGUGGCUAUGUUACGAAGUGGAAGCUGUUUGAGGUGAUGAUGUCCUUUCUCAAGGACACACUCAACAACUACACAACAGAAUCCACUGAAAAUUUCACAAAUGAAGUAAGCCAAGUACAAUAAUGUUUAAAUGACAGGCCAGGUUUUGCAAUCAAGCAAUAACUUUUUACUUUUCUGUUAUUACCUACUUUUAUUUCAACAGGUUGGAGUCAACCUUGUUUUGUCCUGUCUUUUCAAGCCAAAAUAUCAAACCAAAAGUAAAUUCCUAUAAUAAAAAUAAGCAGUUAGCAUUAGCCUCUGCCAAUUUCUUCAGCACUAUAGUGUUAGGGAAGCUAUCUUUUUAAUUAAGCAGAUUACUGGUUAGUGAAGCUGAAUUUUCUGUUAUUGGUGCCCACCUUUGCGUGGUAUGUAUUUAAUUUUCAUUUAAUUUGAUCCUUUCCAUACUAGAGAUGGGGUGAAUACAAGAAUUGUGUAUUUGAAUACCCAGCAAUCAGUAUAACACUGUACUAAUAAUUGUUCAAUAGGAAAAUGACAUCAUGAACCUAUGAAUGAACUAUGGCACUUCCACCCUGGUGGUUAAGUUAACAAUUCAUAUCAGAUCUAACCUAGCCAAACAUUAUAAUCCAACACAAGUUAUUCUGCCUAACCCUCAUAAUAAAACUAACCAAUCCUAACUGGAAAGCUUUGCCCCAUUGGACCAUCCAAUUAAUCAUACAUCAUUAAAUGUAUUGUAAAGCAUGUUAUAUAAUAAACUGUUAACCCUUUCACACAUCACGACGCAAUUCACGUCAAAACGGAAUCGUCUACAUGAACUUUUGACUUGAAUUGUGUCAAAAACUUUUUAAAAAUUGCCAAAAAUAAAGUAUCUUUCAGAAUCACAUCAAAUGUUUUUGUGUCAAAGAUCCAAGCUAGACCUAUAAAAUAAACUAAUUGUCAACUCUCGUGCCAUUAGAUUUGAAGUGAUAAUUGCCCAUGGUUUAGUUGCCUCUCAGCAGGCAGCCUGUGAGUGCAACUGUCAUCCCUUUAAAUUGUUUUUUCUCAGAGUCAGCAAACUUCGCUAUUUAUUUGCAUUUCUUGAUAUUUUUUUCUUUCAUAAGGCAGAAUAAUCUUCCAAAACCAACGAUAUAUAAUAAUGCCAGGAAAAAAAGAAUACUCGUGGGUAAAAUCGAUAACGUGAUAAAAAUUUUCGCCGCACAGUCAGGCCAUUCCGCGAGGUCCCCUAGGGAGCCCCAGACGAAUGUCGCAGUGGAAAGAGAAACUUAUUAAACUUUUGGUGCAUGAAAGGGUUAAUAGUUUCCUUGAAUGAGCUAUGGCACUUCCUUUCUGGUGGUUAAGUUAGUGCGAUUUCAAUGUAACUACCCUAUUUUCCGGCAUAUAAUGCUCACUUUUUUCACUAAAAAAAUCCCAAGAAUUUAACCCUGUGUGGUAUACACCGAAGGUACAGUUUUUAGCAACUCUAAACUUACGUUUAACAUUGUUGAUGAUCCUUCAUAGUAUAUAGCUGUGCUUAUAAUAUGUUGCCACAGGAUACAAAAUGAACAAAUAACCAGUUGAGAAUUUUUCCAGGUCUUGUUGUUAUUCCAGCUUCAUCUUCAUCAGGGUCUUGACCUGUGUGCGUCGGGUGACGGGAAUUUCCGCUCGGGCGGAGAGCAUUGGGUGGCGGGAGUUCCCACCCUCUGCUGUCCCGCCAAGAUUUGUACUCCCAUGACGUAAUUAUUGUGUCCAGUGGUUGAUGUCAAUCCCUGUCCUACAUUUCACGCCACCUCCCAGAACACUACAGACCACUAUAAUGGAGAGACAUGCUGAGAAUGAUUUCCCCGUGUCCGGAUGCAUGGAGGAAGGGAGCGCACCAGUGGGAUCCUGUUCCUCUCUCUACCCCUAAUCUCAGGGAGCACGCUAAACCAUUGUAUAAUGGAAGUUUGAAUAACAGCGGUAUCAUAAGAGCCCUGUUCGAUGAGACGCUUUCUCCUUUGGAAAGUGGUGAUUCAGGGUCUGAGGAGUUAGAAGAUGAAUUAGAACAGAUUGGGGCAUAGUCUGUUUCAGUGGCGGCUGUUCACAACACGCUGCCUCGCACCACCAUAUCACAGUCUUUUCCUGCCUUUCCACUCACAUCUACUGUCAAUGAAAGUGAUGAAGGGCAUGUUGAUGAUCCUGGGAAGGUAAACGACUCAAGAAGCAAGACAGAGGCUGAGAAGCAUGGCUCCAAAACAUCGUUGCUGCUGGCCCUGCUGCCAUCAAACACCCUCCCCCACACCUUCAUCUUCCACACCCUCAUCACCCACACCUUCAUCACCCAUACCUCAAUCAUCUGCGUUCACUGCAUCACACCCUUCACCACCUUGACGUAAGAGGGCACAAGGACGUGUCCUUGGGGCUCGGCGUGGUAUCAGGGGUGCAUAUAAUGGCAAAAAACACAUUCAGUUUCGUAAGGAGUUAUUUUUAUGAGCACCAAACAGCAGAAACAUUCAGUUUUGUAAGGAGUUAUUUUUAUAUAAGUUACAAACAUGCGUAAUAUAUAGUAGAAGUGUAUACAGUGCAUAAUGUAUUGGUUUUUUUAUGAAAGCUUUUGUUGUGCAAAUAGAAACAGAAAAGUCAUUCAGUUUUGUAAGGAAUUACUUUUAUGUAAGCUACAAAUAUGCGUAAUAUGUAGCCUAAUAUGUGUGUGUUCAUGAAAGCUUUUUUUAUGUGCAUAUAAUGGCAAAAAACACAUUCAAUUUCAUAAGGAGUUAUUUUUAUGAGCAUCAAACAUGCAUAAUAUGUAGCCUAAUAUGAAUAAUCGCAUUGGUAGGAGAGGAUGCAUGGUGUGUGGUAGCGGGGCGAGGCAGGAGACUCAGGUCCAAGUCAACAGCACCCGCACAAACAAGUGCGCUUGGCUUGGCCAAAAAUAGCACCUCUUCCCAACAUCAUAUCUCUGCCGUGCUGCAAUCUAGACACUUCCAAUUUAUUUCAUCGUGGAGAGGAAGGAUUGGCGCAAUCAUCAAACUUGGCGUCAACAUUCAGUUUAUCACCUGAUGGCACCUUGACAGAGGUGGAAAGCUAUCCUCUUGCUACACCAGAAUCACCAUUGGAAAUCCAUGAGUCUACAUCUUCAAGAAUGUCAAGCCCACUGUCACCUGAGUGGAGUGGUGUACCUGUGGCUACACACAGUCCAUCACAUGGAUCCAGCCAACAGCCAUUUCCUGUAGUUAGCAGUAAUGAUGCUCUAGGCCCCAGUUAUGUUUCGGUGAAGCACUUGGCAAAGAAAAGAAAGAAGUCGUCAGGUGUUACUCCAGAGAUUGAUGAGGUCACUGAGAGCUUAAAAACCUACAUUGAUAAGAAAAACAAUGUGUCUGUUGAGGCUUCAAGUCUGGGAAGCCUUGUUGAAGCCACAUAUGACAAACUCCCAUAUAACAUACAACUAUUGUUCAUGCAAAAGCUUGUGCAACUAAUUGUCGAAAUGAAGGCUAUACCACCUGUAAACACAUGAAAUCUCA